CCUACGGGAGGCAGCAGUGAGGAAUAUUGGUCAAUGGCCGAAAGGCUGAACCAGCCAAGUCGCGUGAGGGAAGACGGCCCUACGGGUUGUAAACCUCUUUUGUCGGGGAGCAAAGCGAGUCACGUGUGACUCAUUGAGAGUACCCGAAGAAAAAGCAUCGGCUAACUCCGUUCCAGCAGCCGCGGUAAUACGGAGGAUGCGGGCGUUAUCCGUAUUUAUUGGGUUUAAAGGGUGCGCAGGCGGAUGUGAAAGUCAGUGGUAAAAUUGCGGGGCUCAACCCCGUACUGCCGUUGAAACUGCAACCCUUGAGUGCGGUAGAGGUAUGCGGAAUGCGUGGUGUAGCGGUGAAAUGCAUAGAUAUCACGAAGAACUCCGAUUGCGAAGGCAGCAUACCGGCGCGCAACUGACGCUCAUGCACGAAAGCGGGGGUAUCGAACAGGAUUAGAUACCCCAGUAGUC
rnacentral:rRNA from 1 species